UACCCAGGAACUUUUGACAAUAGCUGUCUAAAGUUAUUUGCUGUCCACCUAAUCACCUUUGGACUGCCAACUUUUCUUGCAGGAGACACAUAUUAAAGUUAUUUUAGUAAUUUUGUAGAUUUUUUUUGUUUGCGCUUUUCAAAUGUGUCAGUUAAUAUGUGAAACAAACACACAAUUUUCAAUUUACAUGUGAAUAUGAAGCUAUAGAAUUUUGGGAAGUUAGGUGAGGUGUUAUACAGCAUAGAGCAAUUAAAUGUCAGAAUAUAGAUUUCAUUUCCUGAGGCAUAAAGUACAGAAAGGCUACCACUGAAAUUUUAAAUAGAUAUGAAUAUCCAUCAUGAGGCAGAAAUUGUUUUACUGGUAAUUUCUAUUUAUCACCUGAUUAUGUCUUAGAAGCUCAUUCGAAGAGGACUCCCAUUUAUUUAUGGCCAUACCACAUGGAAUGUGUCUUCUGAUGAGGGUCUCGAGGCAACUGAAACAAUAGUAGCUUCCUCAUGGGUAGAAGAGCAAGUGGAACAAGCUAACAGAUCCCAGUCUAGAACCCUGGUCUAAACUGAAUUAAUAAAGAGCUCUAAGAACCAUUUUUUAAUUGAAAAAUUACAAUGGAAAACAUGUCUGUCAGUGUCAGAUAAAGCUGCCGGCGUGGACUAAACUGUUUUGGCUGAAAUUUUAUCAGCUCACGUCUAGUUACCCUGGCUGUCUCGUUAGUGCCACAAGUUCUGAUUAGCCAUUAUCCACCAGGUCACAGAACUUCUCAGACACGCUGGGGAUUGAACCCAAGGCAUCAGCAAGCAACAAGCUACCGAGAUACAAUAUUCUUAGACCAGUUCAUCGAACUUCCAUAAGCAUGUCUUGGGUAAUUACUCCUGUGGGCCUGGCUCUGAGCUGUGUUCUAGGGAUAUAAAGAUUAAAAAAAAAAAGACGCCCUUAUUAUUUCAAGAAACUUGCCAUCUCUGAAGGGGUAGCAUAUCUGACUAAGUGUUUUAAAACAUUUUAGAAUGAAAUAUUUUCAUUGUGAACCAUUCCAAAAGUUAGAGGAACACUCAGUUUUCAGGUACUAGAGCUGUUGGAGACAUUCAGGGUGGGCCCCCUUUAAGAUGAUUGACAUUUGGGACGGUCCUGGCAUGUGGAAAGAUCUUCCUGGUGUAAUAUGGGGGCCAGCUUGGGCCUGGGUCCUGAGAGAAGCAGGGAGCCUUGGAGGUCAUCAAGUAAACCCUCGUACAAUUUCAGGCAGAGUUGGGAAGCCUUAACCAGGACAGCCUUUGUGAAGAAGGUGGGGAGGCCAUUGCGAAGAAAAAUCUUCAUUGCUGAAGAAUAGUAAAAACACAGUGACUUUGACAGGCCUUGCUAGAUCAACCUUUUCUCUGGCCAGUCUCCUGGAAAGGACUGUGAAGUCACAGCUAACCAAACAACCAUGGCUCCUGGCAAGGGCUUUCCACCAGGUGAAUGGUUUGCCAUAUUUCCGACUCCAGGAACUGGCUGCAAUAACACUUAUGCAAUGAUAGAAUGCUCGGGGCCCACCUCCAGGCGCCUGACUGCGGAGAACUUGGCAGGACUGGAGGCCUCUGCUGAGUGGAAAGUCCUGCUUUCCUGCUUUGCCUGAGCUUCCCUUGGAUGGCUGACGUUUGGAGAAGGCAGAGCGGAUAGACUUUGGGAGAAGUCGCAGAAGGCUGUGUGGGCUGAACCUGGAGCCCUGGCAAGGAAGAGCCGGGGGAUAUGCAAGAAGGGAUGGGUAGGACCAUUCUUUAGGGACAUUUAUUAUUAUUGUGAGAUAAGCAGGAGACAUGGUAUUCGUGGGAAGUCCAGCUGCCUUCUCACCGCAUUGGGUGGAGUGAGGACUGGGGACCUAAGACAGACAUCCCAAGGUCCUUAGGCUGGUCAUUUAACAUCUCUGAGCUUCGGUGUCUUUGGGAGUAAGGUGGGAGAUGCAUCUGACCAAUGAGCGCUGUGGAUAACGAAUGAAAGCAGCCAAAACCUUGUUUAGCCUCUCAGCCAAUGCUAGCUGCUGGUUGAAAGCAUCACGACUCUCUAAUAAGCACAACUGUCAAGUGGCUGGGGAUGAAGGAAGGCAGAAGACCAGCCGUCAACCCAAAGGACAAAUAAGGAAUGUAUCUCCUGCAAUAAAGGCACACAUUUUAUAGACUGGGGUGAGUCUAGCUUCUGAAUGUUUGCAAAUCAAACAUACGCAGAUCGGAUCAUUUUCAGUUUCAGAAUACCUCGUAUUUUCUGAUCCAAGGCAUCCUGGUGGCAGCAUUUUUGUGAAUCUGCUGCUGCUGCUGCUGCUGCUUCUAAUACGGUAUUAUAAUCAAAUGUUGCCUCACGAAGAGCCUCUGGAGGAAAGAGAUGCUUUACCCAGAGGUCCUGCAGGUAUUCACAACAGAUAGACUCAUGACUAUUCAAAGUCAGAAGCGGAGCAAGUGCCCGCUGAUGGACAGGAGCGGACAUGCUGGUGGGUUUCACCAUGCAGCGCCACUCAGUACUAGAUGGUAUAAACUCCCAAUCUCAUUCAGCAAGAGAGAAUCAAAAAUUAUAUAAACACGUUUUUUUAAAUACAAAAGAAUUAUUGAAGAAAGUAAGACAGAUGGAAAAUAUCUUAUGAUCCAGUUUAUACAUAGGGUCAGGAUAGGAAAGUCAAAGCAAUGGGGACUAAAAAUCAGGUUGGUGGCCAACUGGAGGCCUGAGCACUGAGGCCCGAGGCUUGAGGGAAGUUGUCAGUGAUUCUAGAAGCAUUUUCAAAUUGACAUUUCGGCUCCAGGUUCCAGUAUGACAUGGCAGGGGUCUGUCUGUAAACCUAGAACGUGGGAGGCAGAGACAGGAGAAUUUCCAGUUGGAAUUCCCAGUGUUAAAAAUAAAAUAGAAAGAGAAGGGAUAGGAAAAGAGAGUUCCUAAAGUACCUAAAUUUAUCAGAAUUUACCAGAUUAUUUUUUUAAAAAAGUGCUCAUUUUAAUUUAUGCAAACUACUACCUCAGCUAAAUAUAUUUCAAUACAAUUCAAAGUAUGUCCACAUGAUGGAAUAUUUGUCAGAUAUAAAAACAAGUUAGCCAGAUUCAUGCCAUACCACUGAUAAGUCUGAACACCAUUGAGUUAAGUCACCUACAAAGAGCAGGAAGUGGAUCAGUCAUAGCAUCAACAUGAAUUUGUUUAAUGAGCAAAAUCAAUCAUGGGUUCUGAACUCCGAGCAGUGACUGACAGCUCUUGGCCAGUGUAAGAGGACUGAAUGGAAAGGAGAAUAGCUCAUAGGAUGAUGGGACUUUUCUUCUUUAGUAAACCAAGCUGUUUGUUGGCUCCCAUGUUUGUGCAAUGCUGUGGAGAUUAUCCCGGCCCUUUUAUUGCAUUUGUUGUUGAGGAAAUCAACUGGAAUUGUUGAUUGAAAUCAAGCCCUUGGCUUCUUUUAACUUUAUUACUUUUAUUAUCUUACGUGUGUGAGUAUAUUGCCCGCAAGUGUGUAUGUGCCCUACAUGAAAGCAAGCCUCUUGCUUUACAGGUAGCGGAAACCGAGGCUCAGAGGGAUCACAUCAUUUAUCCAAGUUAUAUACCUGGAUAAAUAUGAACUGAUUUAGAGGCCAAGUUUAUUCUAGUUACCCGGAUCUUCUGGCUCUCAGUCCAUUUCUUCUUAGUUACUCUCUCUCUCUCUCUCUCUCUCUCUCUCUCUCUCUCUCUCUCUCUCUCUCUCUCUCUCUCUGUGGUGAGCCCCCCUUUCCAUCUACAUGUAUGGAAUGCAUAGUGGCGGGCCCUGGGGAUGGGGCAGUAGAUGAAAUUUCAUCACUGAGUGUGAACACCCUGUGACCCAGCGUGGAUGUUUUGUGCCUGGGUGCAACUAUGUGGGAUAAAUACUCAGACAAGGAGGCUCCCUUCCCUUGCUCCCCACCCUGGCUGUGUGGGAAGGAAUUCUGGGUCACAACCACAGUCAUUAGAAUACCAACAACAUGUUCUUCAGACAUGAUGUGAUCCCAUACAAUCAACCACCACGUCCUUAGUCUUUGCAAAGGGUUCUAGCGAGAAUCAUCCAGAGACUUUCUCCCAACCGUCCCCUGGCCUCUCCAGCAGUGUCCUGCACUGUUGGGUAGGCACAUCUGGGGACCUGGGCACAAGUGCUCUGCCUCAUUUAGAAAUGGCACUGUCUUCCCAUCCAGCUAGUAUCCAAGCUAAUCUGUGUCAUCCUGGAUGAUCAGUUUCUCAGGCGGUUGUGUAGGAUAAUGGGGAAACUCAUUUGUGUCUUAUUUUUAUAACGAUAAACUGGGCAUCUCACUUUAUAAAGCAAACGGUGAUUUCCCCAUUGGUCCUCCGAAGGGAAUAGUGUAGCUUUGAAACACUAUUGUGCCAUUGGUUAUGGGCUGAACCAAGGGGCUUUGAGGUUUAUAUAUAAGCUCUGGUGCUACCAAUCAAGGAAACACCUUUUCUAAAGAGGAAACAACGGAUGCCUGAGGAAACGAAGGUCCUGGGUUGUGGGCAUCAGUUGGAGUAUUCAAGGGUCAGGGCAAGGCAAUGGGGCUGGGUGGUUGGGUGGAGGUGGAAUGUGUUAGAGGAGGUUGGAGAGGUGGCAGAGGGCAAGGGACUUAACUUGCUGAUUAUAAAUGAUGCGUGAGUGAAAAGCUGUGCAGACACAAGUCCUAGUCUCGCGAGAAUUCCUAGUCUCGCGAGAAUAUGUCUCCCAGGACCAGCCUGAGGAAGACUUGUGCUUUCUUAUUUCUUGGUUUCCCUGUAGCUCAGGAGGCAAGUGAGAAAAGACCCAGACCACAGUUUCUGUCCCAGCAUGCUGGUGUUGCAGCCAUUCAGAUGAUUCCGGUUCCCGGUUCCGCCUGUGCAGGGAGCCCAGAGGAGGCGGCUAAUUUUCCUUAGCCCCAUUGACCUGGAAGCAAAAGAGAAAGAGAAGGGGAUGAGAGAAUUCAGCUUCACCAGCCCCUUUUCUGUGUCCUCAGCCCCAUGCAGCGGAUGGCCGCAGCUCAUGCUUCCCAGCGUUUUCACGGAAUGAAUUUUCUAAACAUCAAAUAUGUAAAGGAAAGAUCAAACAUUUUAAGAAAUGCUGGCCCCAGGCAUAUAUUAGAAGUCAUCGGAGAAGUCACACAGAAGACACUCAAGCAACGUGGCGACACUAGCAAAACCUGGAAGCAAACUCACCUAGCCAUCCAGACUAGAGAGGCUAAAUCAGCUGUGGAAUAUUCACACAAUGGAAAGAUACUGCAGUAAAGCCUAAUGAAGCAGAACUUCAUGCAGCAGCAUGGAUGAGCCUCAAGAACAGAAAAAUUGGACGACUUUCUAUGAUUUUAUGAUAUAAUGAGUUGUGUGGUUUGGGAAUAAGGAAAGACAUACAUUUCAUUGGAACCAAGUACAGAGUCCUGAAAUGACCAUGGUCAGUCGCUGUUUUGUAAAGGUGCCAAGAUCAUCCUGUGUUUCCGAUUUAUACCAUGGCGCCUUGUGACGAUACUGGAGGAGUAAAGGAAUAAAUAUUUGGCCAUUGUGCCCAAGUAAUGGACUGUUCUUCUCCAAGGAGUAAAGAAUAAUUUGCUGUUGUUUUCCCAGUGUGUGGUUCAAAAGACUCAAUCAAAAUCACUGGGAAUUAGAGGAAAGGUAAAGUGAAGCUUAGAGUUCACUGCAGACUUCAGAACGGUGAAUAUCGGAAGGACUGACGUCAGACGUGAAGGAGCUGUAAAGGAGAGCGCUGUAGAUUGCUGAUAAGACCUUUCAAUGGAACACCCGGGAAAAUGCUGUGACCAUCUGUUACAAAGUUAAUCAUAUGUUUAUUGUGCGUGCAAGUGGGAAAUACUAGUCACAUGUCUUUAUGGAAAAUAAAACAGUCACCUCUCCACAUAAAAUGUUAAUGAAUACUAAUAUCCAUAACAUAUCAUGAUGUCCGCCUCCAACAGGUAAGCAGAUAAACUCUGGUGCAUUCAUUCAGUGGAAUCUAAUCAGCACGGCAAAGGAAUGAAUGAGUGAAGUAUUCAACUACAUGGAAGGACCUAACAGCAUUCCAAGAAUAGACUAUGAAGAUAUUCCAUAUCAGCCCAUUUGUCCUGGUGGAAGGGAUGCCAGUGGUUGUAAAGUUUGAGGUGGUAUAGACGGUGUGUGGAGGGAGAGGCUAGAUUUGGAAGGGACAUAAGUAAACUUGAAGUUAUGGAAAUAUAACUUCAUCGUGGCAAGGGUUGUAGAACUAUAUAUCUCUAUCUCUAUACCUAUAUCUACAUUUGUUAAAAUCCAUCAAUUUUAUGCAUUUAUUAGUCUCCAAAUUUUACUUCAGUGAAGCUGAGUUUUCAAAGGACCUACCUAGGCUGAGAUAAUUAAUCGCAUGACGAGUAGGUAACCAGGCAGAUACUUGGAAUUUAGUGCCCUUCUUCAUCUCAGCUCCUCUUUUCUUCCAAGGCCAACAUUUUCCCCAGAUGAGGUAGGGGUUGGGGGAAAGAUGGUGUGCAGGAUGUAUUACCAAAUUUAAAAUGAUUCUGGAUGACUAUUAACUUGAAUUGUCUCUUGGUUUUGGCUUUAACUGGUCAACCCUACAAGAUUCCUCCUCCUAUCUCUUUGGGAUCCAUCGUGAAUAUCAAACAUCUACCGAGAGAGAGAGUCUACCUAGAGAAGAAAACUACCUCACAUUAAAACACUGCGAGUUUCUGA